UACGAAGGGGGCUAGCGUUGCUCGGAAUCACUGGGCGUAAAGCGCACGUAGGCGGCUUUCUAAGUCAGGGGUGAAAUCCCGGGGCUCAACCUCGGAACUGCCUUUGAUACUGCAAGUCUCGAGUCCGAUAGAGGUGGGUGGAAUUCCUAGUGUAGAGGUGAAAUUCGUAGAUAUUAGGAAGAACACCGGUGGCGAAGGCGGCCCACUGGAUCGGUACUGACGCUGAGGUGCGAAAGCGUGGGGAGCAAACAGG
rnacentral:rRNA from 1 species